rnacentral:lncRNA from 1 species
GCUGUACAGAAAGAGGUAAUUCGUUUAUGUUGUCUGUAAUUCUGCUGGCCUUCCCCCCUCCCCGUUUCACAUCCUGGUUAGAAGGCAAAUAAGUCACUAACGUCCAGACAACCUAGUUUAAAGCUUCGAUCAUUUAAAUUGUCACUUUGGGUAGUGUCCAGUCUCUGAUAUGUUAAAAAUGCUCCACCUUGCAGCCUUUAGCUCUGCCUGCUUCUCACCCUAAGAUACUACUUCUCACCCCUGUCUGGAUACACAGAGAAAGAGAUGUGUGUGGGUCACACAGGACAGUGGCAGGGUUGUGGGGUGGGUCUUGGACACGUCCUCAGCAUUCUUUAUGUUCAGGGGCUUCCUGUGUCUACCUGGUGACUACUUGCCUGGCAUUCUAAGGUGGCACAAAGGCUAUUUAAUGUGUGUUCUCUCGGCUUGACCACAGUGCAAAGCAAUACAUUGAUGUGGCUUCGUCGUGGCUUUCCUGUUGCUGCUGCCUCUGUGAAACUGACAUUAGGUCCCUAUAUGGCAAUUCCUCCCUGCGGCCCUGGCUAUCUAGCCACUCUUCCCCAAGCUUUCCUUCCUUAGGGAAUCUCCCAGCACCCAAUUCUAUAAUACGACUCACCUAGUUUGGCUAUGGUGAAACCCUCCUUGUCCUCUACUAAAGAUACGGAACUAAGACCUCGCCAGUCUUCCAUGAUCCCGGCCUCAGCAACUGGCUCAGGUAUGGGCACAUGACCUAAGCUGGCCAAUCAGUCUUCUUGGGCCUUUUGUUAAAGCUCUUUUCUUUCUCUAGGUCCUUGCUGCCGUGAAGCAAGAGCCUGUCUGGAAAUGAAGGCACCAGAGGCAACAAAGCUGAGACAUGGAGACAGAGAGAGUCCAUUGAGUUCAGCUGUGCCUGAAACUCUUCAGUGAGCCAAGAAAUUCCUUUUUGGCUUAAGCCAAUUGGAGUCGUGUUUGUGACACUUGCAAAUGAAAGGAGUUAUUGACUAAUAAAACUGCCAUUUCUAUCUCUCCAAGAAUUAGGAAAUACUUCUUUAAAACUGUUUAUUUACAAUAUGCU